UACGUAGGGUGCAGGCGUUAAUCGGAAUUACUGGGCGUAAAGCGUGCGCAGGCGGUUUGCUAAGAGAGAUGUGAAAUCCCCGGGCUUAACCUGGGAACUGCGUUUCUAACUGGCAGGCUUGAGUGUGGCAGAGGGGGGUGGAAUUCCACGUGUAGCAGUGAAAUGCGUAGAGAUGUGGAGGAACACCGAUGGCGAAGGCAGCCCCCUGGGCUAACACUGACGCCUCAUGCACGAAAGCGUGGGGAGCGAAACAAGGAUUGAGAAACCCUUACG
rnacentral:rRNA from 1 species